rnacentral:rRNA from 1 species
GAUGAACGCUGGCGGCGUGCCUAAUACAUGCAAGUCGAGCGAACAGACGAGGAGCUUGCUCCUCUGACGUUAGCGGCGGACGGGUGAGUAACACGUGGAUAACCUACCUAUAAGACUGGGAUAACUUCGGGAAACCGGAGCUAAUACCGGAUAAUAUAUUGAACCGCAUGGUUCAAUAGUGAAAGACGGUUUUGCUGUCACUUAUAGAUGGAUCCGCGCCGCAUGAGCUAGUUGGUAAGGUAACGGCUUACCAAGGCGACGAUGCGUAGCCGACCGGAGAGGGGGAUCGGCCACACUGGAACUGAGACACGGUCCAGAGGACUGAGGGAGGGAGCAGUAGGGAAUCGGCCGCAAUGGGCGAAAGCCUGACGGAGCAACGGCGCGUGAGUGAUGAAGGUCUUCGGAGCGUAAUACUCUGUUAUUAGGGAAGAACAAAUGUGUAAGGAACUAUGCACGUCUUGACGGUAACUAGUCAGAAAGCCACGGCUAACUACGUG